rnacentral:tRNA from 1 species
UCGUCCGUAGCUCAGUUGGGUUAGAGCACCACCUUGACAUGGUGGGGGUCGGUGGUUCGAGUCCACUCGGACGCACCA